rnacentral:lncRNA from 1 species
CAUUGCCAGAAACAUAGUUUCUAGGCUUCUAAAUCAGUGCCAGCAACGAAUCAAAUAAUAGGAUUGACGUCCUAAUCAUAAUACUUUAAAGACCACCAGUCCCACUGACGUCGGCCACUUUGCUGCAUCCCUUUUCUCUGACGGCGACCCGCAUCUCCCGCCUCGGUGCGCACCAUGCGACCACGACCUUUCCCACGUGGGCA